rnacentral:lncRNA from 1 species
UCUUUGAAAACCCAUACCCCCAAGAAGAAGAAAGUGAAAUUCCGAAUUUUUCGGAACAAGAAUGAGAAGGGGGCAAUGCUUGUGGAGGAUGUUCGAGCCAAGAGAAGUGUUUUGGUGGAGAGGGCACCCAAGAGUAGAAAAGCUUUUCAAUGGUUAGAGUGCUGUUUCCGACCUCCAUGAGUUUUUGAGGUAUCGUCGAGCUCUAGACGUUAAAUUAAGCACUUGUUGGGAGGUAACCCAACUGUUUUUCUUUGUUUUGUUUUUUUCGUUCUUUCAGUUUUGUUUUGUUCUUUUUGUUUCGUUGUUUU